rnacentral:rRNA from 1 species
AGCAUCGACUAUUCGAACGCACAUUGCGGUACCGGGCCAGCUCGGUAC